UACGAAGGGGGCUAGCGUUGCUCGGAAUCACUGGGCGUAAAGGGCGCGUAGGCGGCCACGCACGUCCGUUGUGAAAUCGCCCGGCUCAACUGGGCGGGGUCAGCGGAUACGGUGUGGCUCGAGCAAGCUAGGGGGCAAUGGAAUUCCCGGUGUAGUGGUGGAAUGCGUAGAUAUCGGGAGGAACACCAGUGGCGAAGGCGGUUGCCUGGAGCUUUGCUGACGCUGAUGCGCGAAAGCGUGGGGAGCGAUCCGG
rnacentral:rRNA from 1 species